rnacentral:rRNA from 1 species
GACGAACGCUGGCGGCGUGCUUAACACAUGCAAGUCGAACGGAAAGGCCCUGCUUUUGUGGGGUGCUCGAGUGGCGAACGGGUGAGUAACACGUGAGUAACCUGCCCUUGACUUUGGGAUAACUUCAGGAAACUGGGGCUAAUACCGGAUAGGAGCUCCUGCUGCAUGGUGGGGGUGGGAAAGUUUCGGCGGUUGGGGAUGGACUCGCGGCUUAUCAGCUUGUUGGUGGGGUAGUGGCAUACCAAGGCUUUGACGGGUAGCCGGCCUGAGAGGGUGACCGGCCACAAUAGGCCUGCGAGAGGGACCAGACUGCUACGGGAGGCAACAGGGGGGAAUAUUGCACAAUGGGCGGAAGCCUGAUGCAGCAACGCCGCGUGCGUGAAGACGUCCUUCUGGUGGAAAACCGCGUUGGCCGUUGACAAAGCGUGAGUGACGGUAAAGGGUAAAGAAACGCCGGCUAGCUACGUG